rnacentral:rRNA from 1 species
GUGGUGAUGAGGUGUGGAUAGCGGAGAAAUUCCAAUCGAACUCGGAGAUAGCUGGUUCUCCUCGAAAUAGCUUUAGGGCUAGCCUCGAGCUGGAGUCUAACGGAGGUAAAGCACUGAACUGACGCGGGGCCCAAAAAGGUUACCAACUCAUAUCAAACUAAGAAUGCCGUCAAGAUACCCUCGGGAGUCAGUCUGCGUGAGAUAAGUCGCGUGGACAAAAGGGAAAGAGCCCAGACCGACAGCUAAGGUCCCAAAGUACGUGUUAAGUGGAAAAGGAUGUGGGAUUUCAUAGACAACUAGGAUGUUGGCUUAGAAGCAGCCAUACAUUUAAAGAGUGCGUAAUAGCUCACUAGUCGAGAAAACCUGCGCCGAAAAUGUAACGGGGCUAAAACACGACACCGAAGCUACGGAUUCCUUACAAAGUAAGGAGUGGUAGAGGAGCAUCCUGCAAGGACGAAGCCAAAGUGAGAGCGAUGGUGGACGAAACAGGAGAGAGAAUGCCGGAAUGAGUAGCGAGAUACAUGUGAGAAACAUGUAGGCCGAAUAUCUAAGGAUUCCUGGGUAAAGCUAAUCUUCCCAGGGUUAGUCGGGGCCUAAGGCGAGGACGAAAGUCGUAGUCGAUGGAUAACAGGUUGAUAUUCCUGUACUACACAUAAUCAGAACUGUGGGGACGCAGGAGGAUAGGGAAACCGGGGAAUGGAAAGACCCGGUCAAGCGUAAAGCUGUGGGAGAUAGGCAAAUCCGUCUCCUGUAAGUGAAACGUGAUGAGGACUGAAAAAAAGUAAGGAAGUUUCCGAAUCCACACUGCCGAGAAAAGCCGCUAUUGCGUUAUGUGUACCCGUACCGUAAACCGACACAGGUAGAUGAGGAGAAAAUCCACAGGCCGACGGGAGAAGUGUUGUUAAGGAACUCGGCAAAAUGACCCCGUAACUUCGGGAUAAGGGGAGCCUCGCAAGAGGCCGCAGAAAAGAGGCACAAGCAACUGUUUAGCAAAAACAUAGGUCUAUGCGAAACCGUAAGGUGAAGUAUAUGGGCUGACGCCUGCCCGGUGCUGGAAGGUUAAGAGGAGAGGUUAGCGCAAGCGAAGCUUUGAAUUUAAGCCCCAGUAAACGGCGGCCGUAACUAUAACGGUCCUAAGGUAGCGAAAUUCCUUGUCAGGUAAGUUCUGACCCGCACGAAAGGCGUAAUGAUUUGUGCACUGUCUCGACAACACGCCCGGUGAAAUUGAAGAACCAGUGAAGAUACUGGUUACCCGCAACAGGACGGAAAGACCCCAUGGAGCUUUACUGCAGCCUGAUACUGGGAUUCGAUGAUAUAUGUACAGGAUAGGUGGGAGGCUAAGAAGCGAGAACGCUAGUUUUCGUGGAGCCGCCGGUGGGAUACCACUCUUAUGUCAUUGAAUUUCUAACCUGCAUCCGUAAUCCGGGUGAGGGACAAUGUCAGGCGGGCAGUUUGACUGGGGCGGUCGCCUCCUAAAAGGUAACGGAGGCGCUCGAAGGUCACCUCAGAAUGAUUGGAAACCAUUCAAAGAGUGUAAAGGCAAAAGGUGGCUUGACUGCGACACCGACGGGUGGAGCAGGUACGAAAGUAGGACUUAGUGAUCC